rnacentral:lncRNA from 1 species
CCGACAUACUCACUUACCUACUCCAAACCCUCCAUACUGCACUAUCCGAAGCUACAAAGCUAACGAAUCUCUUCUCCAAUGGCGGAAACAGCAACGAUAUUGUUGAAAAACAAAGAGGGACACUGCAAGACUGCAAAGAGCUCCAUGAAACCACACUAUCUAUAUUGGAGAAAACAGUGUCAAGCAUCAAAGAUGGGGAUUCAAAGAAGCUAGCCGAUGCAAGAGUUUACCUUAGUGCAGCAUUAACAAACAAGAACACAUGUUUAGAAGGGUUGGAUUCAGCUUUGGGUCCAUUGAAGCCGGUUAUGGUGAAAUCAUUGAUUGGUACUUACAAGCACGUUAGUAACUCUCUUUCUAUGCUUCCUAAG